CAGUGGGGAAUUUUGGACAAUGGGCGCAAGCCUGAUCCAGCCAUGCCGCGUGCGGGAAGAAGGCCUUCGGGUUGUAAACCGCUUUUGUCAGGGAAGAAACGGCUCGGGCUAAUACCUCGGGCUAAUGACGGUACCUGAAGAAUAAGCACCGGCUAACUACGUGCCAGCAGCCGCGGUAAUACGUAGGGUGCGAGCGUUAAUCGGAAUUACUGGGCGUAAAGCGUGCGCAGGCGGUUUUGUAAGACAGAGGUGAAAUCCCCGGGCUCAACCUGGGAACUGCCUUUGUGACUGCAAGGCUUGAGUGCGGCAGAGGGGGAUGGAAUUCCGCGUGUAGCAGUGAAAUGCGUAGAUAUGCGGAGGAACACCGAUGGCGAAGGCAAUCCCCUGGGCCUGCACUGACGCUCAUGCACGAAAGCGUGGGGAGCAAACA
rnacentral:rRNA from 1 species